rnacentral:rRNA from 1 species
AUUGAACGCUGGCGGCAGGCCUAACACAUGCAAGUCGAGCGAGAGGCGGACGGGUGUGUAAAGUCUGGGAAACUGCCUGAUGGAGAGGGGUAACUACUGGAAACGGGGGCUAAUACCGCAUACCCGCAGAGGUGCCCAGAUGGGAUUCGCUGGUAGGUGGGGUAACGGCUCACCUAGGCGACGAUCCCUAGCUGGUCUGAGAGGAUGACCAGCCACACUGGAAAGGGGACACGGUUCAGACUCCUACGGGAGGCAGCAGUGGGUAAUAUUGCACAAUGGGCGCAAGCCUGAUGCAGCCAUGCCGCGGGUGUGAAGCAGGCCUUCGGGUUGUAAAGCACUUUCAGCGGGGAGGCGUUACCCGCAGAAGAAGCACCGGCUAACUCCGUGCCAGCAGCCGCGGUAAUAC